CCUACGGGAUGCAGCAGUGGGGAAUAUUGGGCAAUGGCGGAAACUCUGACCCAGCAACGCCGCGUGAAGGAUGAAGGUUUUCGGAUUGUAAACUUCUGUCGCGAGGGAUGAAGAAUGACGGUAUCUAACGAAUAAGCACCUGCUAACUCCGUGCCAGCAGCCGCGGUAAUACGGAGGGUGCAAGCGUUACUCGGAAUCACUGGGCGUAAAGAGUGCGUAGGCGGGGUAAUAAGUCAGAUGUGAAAUCCUGUAGCUUAACUACAGAACUGCAUUUGAAACUGUUACUCUGGAGUGUGGGAGAGGUAGGUGGAAUUCUUGGUGUAGGGGUAAAAUCCGUAGAGAUCAAGAGGAAUACUCAUUGCGAAGGCGACCUGCUGGAACAUUACUGACGCUGAUGCACGAAAGCGUGGGGAGCAAACAGGAUUAGAUACCCGGGUAGUC
rnacentral:rRNA from 1 species